rnacentral:tRNA from 1 species
GGGCGAGUGGCGGAAUGGUAUACGCAGGGGACUUAAAAUCCCCAGGGGGAAACCCCAUGAGGGUUCGACUCCCUCCUCGCCCACCA